rnacentral:rRNA from 1 species
AGCGCAGGCGGGACUGCAAGUUGGAUGUGAAAUACCGUGGCUUAACCACGGAACUGCAUCCAAAACUGUAGUUCUUGAGUGAAGUAGAGGCAAGCGGAAUUCCGAGUGUGGCGGUGAAAUGCGUAGAUAUUCGGAGGAACACCAGUGGCGAAGGCGGCUUGCUGGGCUUUAACUGACGCUGAGGCUCGAAAGUGUGGGGAGCAAACA